rnacentral:rRNA from 1 species
UCUUAUAAUUUAUAAUAGAAUUUUAUUUUUUAGUCAAAAAGCUAAAAUAUAUUUAAAAGACGAGAAGACCCUAUAAAUCUUUAUAUUUAGGUUAUUAUAAUUUUAUAGAUUUUUUUUGUUAUAAUAAUUGAUAAUAUUUUAUUGGGGUGAUAUUAAAAUUUGAUAAACUUUUAAUUGUUUAAAUCACUAAUUUAUGAAUAAUUGAUCCGUUAUUAGCGAUUAAAAAAAUAAGUUACCUUAGGGAUAACAG